UGGAGUACGUUGCUCAUUUAAAAUUAGUUUAGAUGUGGCUUUAGUACCUGUAGAUUUAUUUUUUUCAAUAUUCCAAAACGUCUACAGUUGGCAAUUAUUUCAGAUGGAAGUCCUCUAGGCUUAGUAACAGGGAGAGUAUUUUGUCAACCUUAAUAAAAAAACGAAUUUUUAAAAAUCGUGUUUUUUCGUGCUGAACGUACUCGCAAGCCCAUAUACAAAAUUCUAAUUUUUAGCACACGCACCCGGGCUCCCAUCUCUGUGAAAUUUUCCUUAAAACUGCCUCGAUGACCACUCUUUGGCCGAUGACAAUGUCUCGGAAAUUUGCCGCAAUGAACAGGUUGAGAUCUGGAUGGAUGUGGAGAGUGCAGAUGUCAUCAAGGAGAGAUGCAACCGCCUUAAACUAUGUUUUUGGAUGAUCGAAUUUGAAUCUUUCGUUUAGAUGAGAUGCUGAUAUAUUUUUAUUUUAUGGAAUUUAUAUUUUACCAGAGGACCGGUGUUGAUAACUUUGACCGCGGCAUAUCCGCGCUUUCCCUUGCAAGAUUUUCAUUAUUCUCUGCUCAGAGAAUCGGACCUCUCUGCUCAGAGUGUGACGAAUCGGAAGCCGACGAGUAACGUGUUUCGCGGCUCACGGAAAAAGAAAAGAACGGAAAUGAGCUUUUCGAUUACGAUGCCAGUAAGGCUUCGGACUGGAGAUUGCGUAAUCUUCGAAAAAGUCACACUGCUGCAAUCUACCAUUCCUUGCCUCUUUGUAUUUUUGAUUCUCAUCUAUUAAAAAUUUAAAUGAAUUACGAAAUUUGAGGUAAUUUAUGUUGAGCCACCUUUUUUUUUUGUUCAAAAUGUUCAAAUAUUUGCCUAUUGCCUAUUUUACUAUUGACCCUGGAAUCCUUUUUGAUGAAUUGUAAACGCAUUCAAAUGCCCUUGAGAAAGCUGAUGCGUUGUUUGUGGCGUUAAAGAGCUAAGCAACAAAGAUUGGAAAAAGAGGCUAGGAGUGCUAAAAAAAAUGGUGCUGGCUGCUAAGUCUACAAGGACUGCAAAUUACGAUUUAUUGACCAGUCCCGAUGGUUUUUAUUUUGACCUAGAAUGUCUUCUUCCAUGUCUUCUGGUGGACUAUUCAGGCAUAGAAUAAAAACUUU